CCAAAUGAAAUCCGUGACCCAAAAAUAUCUGCUCCUAUACUAUAUACAUCUUUCAGACUAUAGGGUCCGGUCGGGUGAUCCGGCCCAAAAUUACUCCUAUACUAUAUACAUCUUUCAGACUAUCGGGUCGGGUCGGGUCGGGUCGGGUGAUUCGGCCGAAAAUUAAAUAACUGUGGGCUCAGAUACACAGUCUAGAAUAGGUAAUCAUCAUAGCCCAUUACAAGGUAUAUCAUGGGUAUACAGUAAAUAUACAAUGAAUAUACAAGGCUAUACAAGGCUAUACAAGUCUAUGCAACUCUAUGUCACGUAUAAUCUCUCAUCUCAACACCCCCCCUCAAGUUGGAGGGGGAGACCACCUGCAACUUGAGCAACAAGGGAUGAAGCACAGUGCCAGGCAAAGGC
rnacentral:lncRNA from 1 species